UACAGAGGUCUCAAGCGUUGUUCGGAUUCAUUGGGCGUAAAGGGUGCGUAGGUGGCGCGCUAAGUCAGGUGUGAAAUUUCGGAGCUUAACUCCGAAACUGCAUUCGAUACUGCCGUGCUUGAGGACUGGAGAGGAGACUGGAAUUUACGGUGUAGCAGUGAAAUGCGUAGAGAUCGUAAGGAAGACCAGUGGCGAAGGCGGGUCUCUGGACAGUUCCUGACACUGAGGCACGAAGGCCAGGGGAGCAAACGGG
rnacentral:rRNA from 1 species